UGGAGACCGUGUGGAGAGUUUCCUGAGCUCGUGCCUCUGCGUGGACCUCUUCCAUCUCAAGAGAAACAUCCUUUUUACCGAGGAAUCUCUGAAAGGCUGCAGGUAACGAGGACUCUCAGGGAGGAAAGGCAGAACGCAGAGCUGCAGCACUGCAGGCAAUGCCAAGAAGGAAAACAAGUAGUUCCACCUGGACUCCUGCAGUCACAAAUCGCCAACAUCAGGGUUGUGCAGAUGUCAAGCCCGUGCCAUGACAUGUCAUCUAUCUGGGCCGAGCCACGGAACGGGAACACUUACCAGAAUCCACCCCCAUGAUGAAGCGGCCAAUGAUGAGCAUCUCAAAGGACCGUGCCUUCUCCCCAAAGGAAACCGGAGUACUCGGAGAAAAACCCACGCAGGCACGUGGAGAAUGUGCAAACUCCACAUCAGAAAAGCCCCAGCUCGGAUUAGAAGCCUGGACUCGACAGCGCGUGUUUCUGCUAUUGGUGCGGCUAUAGUGGACACACAACAACUGUCUUCAUGGCCCAAAAAGAAGUUCUCUCCUGGGGCAGUUUUCUAUCAACAAUGGCUGCCUUAUCCUCACGAGGUACUCCAGUGUGCCCCUGUGUGAAAGGCACGCAAGGCAAUACUACAUAAACAGAAAGAUGUUGCAAAUAUGAUACGUUGUUAAAAGUCGUUUCAUAGCACGUGGCUGCAGUUCUCAGCAAAUAUGUCGUAUAUUCUGGGAGCUGAUACUGUAUACUCAGCCUUUCAAGUCAUCGCCCCUGAAGAGAGGCAUCCUUUGUCAAGCUUGGAGCUGAGGCCACCACGCAAGUUGCCCUUGUGAGCAGUAGCAAUGGGAAAUAGUUUGACGCGACCGCAAAGUGCGGUUAAGCCGACAUUUUAGCGAUGUUGUAAUUUUUGCUGUCUUUAUUCUGCAGGAUACAUUUACACUUAUAUAAAACACUAAAACUUACACUGAAACAGGAAGUGCUUCCCCCCUUGUGUAACUAUGUCCUUGAUAUCAUAAUGUUGUGCCAAAGGUUCCUCCAAUCAAACAGUUGGCAAAAACAAAU